GGAUCAACAGUUUGGGAACCUAAUAAUCUAAUAUACAAAUAUGUCAAAUAAUACAAAGGUAACUAGAUCUGAAAAAAAAUUAAUAACAUAGUGUAUUAAACCCAAUGUCUGAAAUAUAAAACCAAUAGUUACUCAAUGCACAACACUAAAUGUUCCCAAGCAAACCCAUUCAUCGAACAACUUCCAGAUAAGGUUCGAUGCUGCAAUCCAUCGAAUGAGCACACGGAGAGUGCUAACCUGUCCUAUCCGUAGGUGCAGGUGGAAAGAUGACAGAAAAUGGGACUGGAACGUCCCAAAGUGUGUUUGCCAAAUUGACAUAUUCCCAAUGGUGACUUGACUGUGGCUGUAAUGGUUUCCCUAGGUGGUCAAAGGGGCUACGACUUCACGUUGUGGUUUCUCCAAAAUGGCUAAAAAACAUUCCCAGUUUUAUUUCUCAUAUAAACCGGUGAGCAAAAGUAAAGAGAAGAA
rnacentral:lncRNA from 1 species